GAUGAACGCUAGCUACAGGCUUAACACAUGCAAGUCGAGGGGCAGCAUUUUAGUUUGCUUGCAAACUGAAGAUGGCGACCGGCGCACGGGUGAGUAACACGUAUCCAACCUGCCGAUAACUCCGGGAUAGCCUUUCGAAAGAAAGAUUAAUACCGGAUAGUAUACGAAUAUCGCAUGAUAUUUUUAUUAAAGAAUUUCGGUUAUCGAUGGGGAUGCGUUCCAUUAGUUUGUUGGCGGGGUAACGGCCCACCAAGACUACGAUGGAUAGGGGUUCUGAGAGGAAGGUCCCCCACAUUGGAACUGAGACACGGUCCAAACUCCUACGGGAGGCAGCAGUGAGGAAUAUUGGUCAAUGGGCGCGAGCCUGAACCAGCCAAGUAGCGUGAAGGAUGAAGGCUCUAUGGGUCGUAAACUUCUUUUAUAUGGGAAUAAAGUUUUCCACGUGUGGAAUUUUGUAUGUACCAUAUGAAUAAGGAUCGGCUAACUCCGUGCCAGCAGCCGCGGUAAUACGGAGGAUCCGAGCGUUAUCCGGAUUUAUUGGGUUUAAAGGGAGCGUAGGUGGAUUGUUAAGUCAGUUGUGAAAGUUUGCGGCUCAACCGUAAAAUUGCAGUUGAAACUGGCAGUCUUGAGUACAGUAGAGGUGGGCGGAAUUCGUGGUGUAGCGGUGAAAUGCUUAGAUAUCACGAAGAACUCCGAUUGCGAAGGCAGCUCACUAGACUGUCACUGACACUGAUGCUCGAAAGUGUGGGUAUCAAACAGGAUUAGAUACCCUGGUAGUCCACACAGUAAACGAUGAAUACUCGCUGUUUGCGAUAUACAGUAAGCGGCCAAGCGAAAGCAUUAAGUAUUCCACCUGGGGAGUACGCCGGCAACGGUGAAACUCAAAGGAAUUGACGGGGGCCCGCACAAGCGGAGGAACAUGUGGUUUAAUUCGAUGAUACGCGAGGAACCUUACCCGGGCUUAAACUGCAACAGAAUAUAUCGGAAACAGUAUAGCCGUAAGGCUGUUGUGAAGGUGCUGCAUGGUUGUCGUCAGCUCGUGCCGUGAGGUGUCGGCUUAAGUGCCAUAACGAGCGCAACCCUUAUCCUUAGUUACUAACAGGUUAUGCUGAGGACUCUAGAGAGACUGCCGUCGUAAGAUGUGAGGAAGGUGGGGAUGACGUCAAAUCAGCACGGCCCUUACGUCCGGGGCUACACACGUGUUACAAUGGGGGGUACAGAAGGCGGCUACCUGGUGACAGGAUGCUAAUCCCAAAAACCUCUCUCAGUUCGGAUCGAAGUCUGCAACCCGACUUCGUGAAGCUGGAUUCGCUAGUAAUCGCGCAUCAGCCAUGGCGCGGUGAAUACGUUCCCGGGCCU
rnacentral:rRNA from 1 species